AAGCAAGGCACUGAAAAUGCCUAGAUGAGUAUAUUAACUCCAUGAACA
rnacentral:tRNA from 1 species